AAGAUACUCCAUCCAUCCGAAAAUACUUAUCAAAGAAAUGGAUGAAUCUAGACGUAUUUUAGUUAUAGAUGCAUCCAAUUUUAUCCAUCUCUCUAACAAGUAUUUUGGGACGGAGGGAGUACUUC
rfam:Triticum aestivum genome assembly, contig: Triticum_aestivum_CS42_TGACv1_scaffold_133646_2BL